rnacentral:lncRNA from 1 species
CCACCCACAGAACUUGGCACUUUGACAUUGAGGCGGCACAAAUAAAAACCCAGAUCACAGGAAACAGGUGACUACAUUUUAAUAAAUCAAAGUCUGGAAUCCUAAGCUUGAAACAAUUCCUUAGAACACUCCAGGAAAAACAGUCAUCUGAGUGCAGAUUCACUUGUCCCCACAGAUACGAGACAGUUGAAGGCUGCAUGAAUUAAUGGGACCUUUUCAAAUGGAACUCCACGUUGCUACAAAUUGUUUGGUUCUGAUCUGCCGUCACAAUACCCUGAAAUAGAGAAAACAGUCAUUGAUGACAGGAAGACAGACCCAGUGGUAAAUAUGAAAUGCAUCUCACUGGCAGGCGGGCCCAAAUGCAUGGCACACCGACCUCUCCGGGAGAGCUGGGGCACCCUACUCCCACCCACCCACUCACCAUUGUGAACAAUCAGCCUGUACUGCCUGGCCAAGCACAGCUCCUCCUGCCUCUGCCUCACGAUCUUUUGUGCCUCCAGGGGAAGGCCAUUGGGGUCACGGGAAAACACGAAGGAGUAGCUGUCAGCACAGGUGCCAUCGAGGUUCAGGAGGCGGCAGGAAUACUGCACGGCAUAUUCAAAAGCCGGACUCGGCCCUUGGCCGUGGCGCUCAUCCGGCCAUUCUCAUCCACCGAGAACUCAGCGACGAUGUUGUCCUGCAGAAAGAGGCCCUCGGGGUCCUUCUUGGCCAUGGCGUACCAGGUCCCGGCGAACUGCGAGGGAGGUGAGCGAGGGAGAGUUAGAGCCCCUCUGAUCCAUCAAAGUCAGAAGAUGCAGCUUCUAACUGAAUGAGAGUUCAUGGUAUGGCAAAGAAAUAGGCACCUUCCUGUGACUCUUUGGACAUCUACCUGCCUGGGUCUCUGCUUCCACUUGACACCUUUCCCUGCUUCCAGGUUGUGCCUUCAGGGUGUCUGGAGUGCCAAUGAUGAUGCAUUUAACUCCUUACUGCCCCAGAGCUAGGAAAGCCCUGUUUCUGGCCAACCAGCUAACUGGUUAGG